rnacentral:rRNA from 1 species
GACGAACGCUGGCGGCGUGCUUAACACAUGCAAGUCGAACGGAAAGGCCCUGCUUUUGUGGGGUGCUCGAGUGGCGAACGGGUGAGUAUCACGUGAGUAACCUGCCCUUUACUUUGGGAUACCUUCAGGAAACUGGGGCUAAUACCGGAUAUGAUCUCUUUCUGCAUGGUGGGGGUUUUUAAGUUUCGGCGGUUGGGGAUGGACUCGCGGCUUAUCAGCUUGUUGGUGGGGUAGUGGCUUACCAAGGCUUUGACGGGUAGCCGGCCUGAGAGGGUGACCGGCCACAUUGGGACUGAGAUACGGCCCAGACUCAUACGGGAGGCAGCAGUGGGAGAUAUUGCAAGAUGGGCGGAAGCAUGAAGCAGCAACGCCGCGUGCGGGAUGACGGCCUUCGGAUUGUAAACCGCUUUCGCCUGUGACGAAGCGUGAGUGACGGUAAUGGGUAAAGAAGCACCGGCUAACUACGUG